AUCACAAAGCUAUUCUGGCUGAUAACUCAGAGAAUAAUGAAAAUAACUUAAGAGUUCAAUUAGUUGCCUAGGGAAGUAAAGAAGGUAACUAUCACUUCAAACGGUGAGCAAGGUUGUGUUUUCUGCUAAUAUGAUAUAAAUUUAAAAGCUUUUGCUUUACAGUGGGAUGGUAGGAAUUAGGCAAGACCACAGUAGCAAGACUACUGUAAAAAUAAGGAAUUUCAUUCUCAGAUUCCUAAAAGUAAAAUCAGUUUUAGUCUAAAAAUUAUUGAACAACAAAUAGCACCCAUGCCUGCUUGGUAAUGUCUGGCUUCAGAUUAAAAUGAAAAUAUAAGACAAAUUUCAGCAAAAUAAUUUUAUUUCCUAACACAUAGUAAACAUAUACAUCCAAUAUCUCGCACAUUUAUUCACAAAUGACUUCCAAAUUCCAAUAACUGCUUUGAUAUUUAAGCAUGUGCUCAUAGUUAUCUUAGCUGAGAU